rnacentral:rRNA from 1 species
GACGGAGGGUGCAAGCGCUGCUCGGAAUGAUUGGGCCUAAAGGGGAGGUAGGUGGUCUGAGAAGUCUUGAGGUGAAAGCCUGGAGCUUAACUCCAGAAGUGCCUCAGAAACCUUCAGACUCGAGUCUGGGAGAGGGUCGCGGAAUUCCCGGUGGAGCGGUGAAAUGCGUAGAGAUCGGGAGGAACACCAGAGGCGAAAGCGGCGGCCUGGAACAGUACUGACACUGAGCUCCGAAAGCGUGGGGAGCAAACAGG